UACGAAGGGUGCAAGCGUUAAUCGGAAUUACUGGGCGUAAAGCGUGCGCAGGCGGUUAUUUAAGUCAGGUGUGAAAGCCCUGGGCUUAACCUAGGAAUUGCGCUUGAGACUGGAUAGCUUGGAGUGCGGCAGAGGGAGGUGGAAUUCCACGUGUAGCAGUGAAAUGCGUAGAGAUGUGGAGGAACACCGAUGGCGAAGGCAGCCUCCUGGGCCAGCACUGACGCUCAUGCACGAAAGCGUGGGGAGCAAACAGG
rnacentral:rRNA from 1 species